UGCAGUCGAACGAUGAAGCCCAGCUUGCUGGGUGGAUUAGUGGCGAACGGGUGAGUAACACGUGAGCAACCUGCCCCUGACUCUGGGAUAAGCGCUGGAAACGGCGUCUAAUACUGGAUAUGUCCCGUCACCGCAUGGUGUGCGGGUGGAAAGAUUUUUCGGUUGGGGAUGGGCUCGCGGCCUAUCAGCUUGUUGGUGAGGUAAUGGCUCACCAAGGCGUCGACGGGUAGCCGGCCUGAGAGGGUGACCGGCCACACUGGGACUGAGACACGGCCCAGACUCCUACGGGAGGCAGCAGUGGGGAAUAUUGCACAAUGGGCGGAAGCCUGAUGCAGCAACGCCGCGUGAGGGAUGACGGCCUUCGGGUUGUAAACCUCUUUUAGCAGGGAAGAAGCGAGAGUGACGGUACCUGCAGAAAAAGCACCGGCUAACUACGUGCCAGCAGCCGCGGUAAUACGUAGGGUGCAAGCGUUAUCCGGAAUUAUUGGGCGUAAAGAGCUCGUAGGCGGUCUGUCGCGUCUGCUGUGAAAUCCCGAGGCUCAACCUCGGGCUUGCAGUGGGUACGGGCAGACUAGAGUGCGGUAGGGGAGAUUGGAAUUCCUGGUGUAGCGGUGGAAUGCGCAGAUAUCAGGAGGAACACCGAUGGCGAAGGCAGAUCUCUGGGCCGUAACUGACGCUGAGGAGCGAAAGGGUGGGGAGCAAACAGGCUUAGAUACCCUGGUAGUCCACCCCGUAAACGUUGGGAACUAGUUGUGGGGUCCUUUCCACGGAUUCCGUGACGCAGCUAACGCAUUAAGUUCCCCGCCUGGGGAGUACGGCCGCAAGGCUAAAACUCAAAGGAAUUGACGGGGACCCGCACAAGCGGCGGAGCAUGCGGAUUAAUUCGAUGCAACGCGAAG
rnacentral:rRNA from 1 species